GACGAACGCUGGCGGCGUGCUUAACACAUGCAAGUCGAGCGGUAAGGCCCUUUCGGGGGUACACGAGCGGCGAACGGGUGAGUAACACGUGGGUGACCUGCCCUCAGCUCUGGGAUAAGCCUGGGAAACUGGGUCUAAUACUGGAUAUGACUCCACGGUGCAUGUCGUGGGGUGGAAAGCCUUGUGCGGCUGAGGAUGGGCCCGCGGCCUAUCAGCUUGUUGGUGGGGUGANGGCCUACCAAGGCGACGACGGGUAGCCGGCCUGAGAGGGCGACCGGCCACACUGGGACUGAGACACGGCCCAGACUCCUACGGGAGGCAGCAGUGGGGAAUCUUGCGCAAUGGGCGAAAGCCUGACGCAGCGACGCCGCGUGAGGGAUGACGGCCUCGGUGU
rnacentral:rRNA from 1 species